CGUGUAGGCGGCUUGGUAAGUCCGGUGUGAAACCUUGGGGCUCAACCCCCAAGCCUGCACUGGAUACUGCCUCGCUUGAGUCCGGGAGGGGAGAGCGGAAUUCCUAGUGUAGCGGUGAAAUGCGCAGAUAUUAGGAAGAACACCGGUGGCGAAGGCGGCUCUCUGGAACGGUACUGACGCUGAGACGCGAAAGCGUGGGGAGCGAACA
rnacentral:rRNA from 1 species